UCCUCCCUCUGGCGGCGUGCCUAAUACAUGCAAGUUGAGCGCUGAAGGUUGGUACUUGUACCAACUGGAUGAGCAGCGAACGGGUGAGUAACGCGUGGGGAAUCUGCCUUUGAGCGGGGGACAACAUUUGGAAACGAAUGCUAAUACCGCAUAAAAACUUUAAACACAAGUUUUAAGUUUGAAAGAUGCAAUUGCAUCACUCAAAGAUGAUCCCGCGUUGUAUUAGCUAGUUGGUGAGGUAAAGGCUCACCAAGGCGAUGAUACAUAGCCGACCUGAGAGGGUGAUCGGCCACAUUGGGACUGAGACACGGCCCAAACUCCUACGGGAGGCAGCAGUAGGGAAUCUUCGGCAAUGGACGAAAGUCUGACCGAGCAACGCCGCGUGAGUGAAGAAGGUUUUCGGAUCGUAAAACUCGGUUGGUAGAGAAGAACGUUGGUGAGAGUGGAAAGCUCAUCAAGUGACGGUAACUACCCAGAAAGGGACGGCUAACUACGUG
rnacentral:rRNA from 1 species